UACGUAGGGUGCAAGCGUUGUCCGGAUUUAUUGGGCGUAAAGAGCUCGUAGGCGGUCUGUCGCGUCGGAUGUGAAAACCCAGGGCUCAACCCUGGGCCUGCAUUCGAUACGGGCAGACUAGAGUGUGGCAGGGGAGACUGGAAUUCCUGGUGUAGCGGUGAAAUGCGCAGAUAUCAGGAGGAACACCGGUGGCGAAGGCGGGUCUCUGGGCCAAUACUGACGCUGAGGAGCGAAAGCGUGGGGAGCGGACAGG
rnacentral:rRNA from 1 species